UCUGGGAAUCUGAUCAGGGCUUCUGCUGGAAACAUCUUUCUGAGGCAGAGGGCAGGGACUCAAUCCCAGAAGGUGGCUGCUGUGCCUUUAUAGAGAGGAGGAGAUGCAAAUUAGACCCCUCCAGCCCUGAUUAAAGCCUGCAUGGCCCCUGUCCCUGCAGCUCUGGGAGAAGAGCCCCAGAUCCUGUCUGUGCUGUUCCCUUCCUGCCCCCAGAACUGUCCUCAUAGUCCCCACCAUGCAGUCUGUCCUCAGUGUGUUUUCCAUCCUAACCCUGCUCCAAGGUGUGCAGGGUGAUGUCCAACUGGUGGAGUCUGGGGGAGACUUGAGACAGCCUGGCGGGUCUCUGCGCCUCUCCUGUAAAGCCUCUGGAUUGACCUACAGCAGCUACUUCAUGCACUGGGUCCGCCAGGCUCCAGGGAAGGGGCUGGAGUGGGUCGCUAGAGUUUAUCAUGAUGGGAACUACAUAGGUUAUGCAGACUCUGUGAAAGGCCGAUUCACCAUCUCCUGGGACAAGGCCAACAGCCUCCUGAGUUUGCAGAUGAAUAGCCUGAAAACCGAGGACACGGCCCUGUAUUACUGCGCUACAGACACAGUGAGAGAAACCACAUUCUGGACCUGUCAGAAACUGCGGGAGAAUUUCUGGGCUGCAGCUGGCUGGGGAAGCAGAGCAGCAGAGACCCCACACAACAACCUUGGCCUCUAAGACUAAUCGUUAAUUAUAUUAAUAAGGUUAACAAUUCCAAAUUGGGAUGUAAAAUGAAAUGGGAACCAGAGCUUGAUUUUUUUUCUACAUCUAAUGAAUAUCUAAGAAAAUGCUUCCAAGGCAGCCGGACAAGUGGCAGUGCAUUUCAGAUGAAAUAUAAACCUAAUGGAAUCAGUCCUGAAAUAUAUUUUAAAAUUCACUGAUUACUAGGAAAUGUUUGCAAUUUUGUUAGUAAAUAUAAUACUUUGUAGAAAUAUGAUCCCACUAUACUCAGGCAGCAAAUCAACACACACCUCCAGAGACCCACAAAGACAGGCUCUGAUUCAGGGAAGGAGACACAGAGGGACAGGAGCAGGAAUCAAAUGAAGCGAGGCCUGCUGAUGCCUGGGAAGAGUGUGUGCCUUCAUAGGAUAUAAACACACAGGAACCAUCUUUAAACAUGAUAGAGAAAGAGCCUGCUUAGUUCAGAAAAGUAACAAAAGCAGAAACUAAAAAUGGUAUGAAUAGUUGGUUUAAAGGAUUUAAGCAAA